GCGAUACUAGUAAAACCAGAUUACACUACCUUGUCAGGGCAGAAUUGUGGGUUAAAGCCCCACGUAUCAUA
rnacentral:tRNA from 1 species